UUUUAAACCCAAAAGCCAGUGAGAUUUUUUUUCCCUUCUAGCUGCUUGGAAAGCCGAGCUGGAGGUAGAUAGAUGCAUAUCUUAUCUCUCCUUGCCUGAAGGCAGAGGUGUUAAGUUUUUUUAACAGGUCCUUUGUUAAGAGAAGGGUUCAAUUAGCAAACUUGACUGGUAAAAGGACUUUACAAGCUGAAUUGGUUUUUUUCUUUUUCUUUUUACAUCCUCGGGAGUAGCUAGUUAGAAAGUCUCUGUUAACUCAACAGCAGCCAGAGCUGAGAGCUUCCCAGUUUCAGUCAACUGCAGAGGGGGUGACCCAGCACAAGAAAACAGGAAAAUGACUAUCAAAGAAGUAGCUAAAAAAAUAGAACUGGCCAAACUAGAAGCAGAAGAAAAUGAAAGAAAACAUCAAAGACUGCUUCAAUUAACAAAACUCGAGACAGAGCAGAGAGCAAGAGAAGAAAAAGCCAAAGAGAGGGCCCACAAGAGAGAGAUGGAGCUGAAAGAAAAAGAGAUGGAGGAGAGAGAAAAAGAAAGGAAACAUGAACUAGAACUAGCAAAGGCUAAGCAAGCUUUCACCCCCAUCCCUGUUCCUGAGCCGUCCACCAGGGCCCCGUCUGUGUUACCGGAGACCCAGACAAAGGUGGUGGAACUAGAUCCCCUGCCAACGACUGCAACAGCCGUAGUGGAUCCAAUCCCAGAAACCCAGCCAAAGCCAGUCCCAGAACCGGAACUGGCAACGCAACCAGCACCAGAACCAUUGCCAGCCCUGAGUCCAGCGCUUGCAAACCCGUCUACAACUCCAACGCCAGAGGGCACCAGCAAGCCUGAACUGGCAGAAGCAGCAGAUAACCCUACCCAAGAGGCUCAGCCAGAGCCUGAAAUACCACAUAGUGCACAAGCGGACAGCAGUUCACAGUCAAUGGAAACAGCCCCAGCACCUGCAUUGCUUCCAGAGGGACCAAGCCCCAGUCCACAGUCCAAGGAGGAACUGAUGUCUCCAGCAUCAAGGGAACAGUUCCAGGCUGAGCAGGAAGCAGAUGACAGCCUUCAGAAAGCUUGGGCGGCGGCGCGGAGCACCCCACCGCCUCUCAGCUCUUCUAACCG
rnacentral:lncRNA from 1 species